rnacentral:tRNA from 2 species
GGCCUGAUGGCCUAAUGGCUAAGGCAUCGCUUUCCGGUGGCGAAGAUUCUGGGUUCGAGUCCCAGUUGGGUCG